CUCUCACUUUGAGACACAGUUUUUCUAUAUAGUCAUGACUGUCCUAAAACUCUUUAUAUAGACCACGCUGGCCUUGAACUCACAGAGAUCUGCCUCUUGAAUGCUGAGAUUAAAGACUGUAUUUUAUCCAUCUUCAAAUAAGUUUUCCAGAGAAUGUUCAGCUACUGGAAUGUUCCUGAAUAAUACUUUUAAUGUCGGCUUGGAGAAGAGCGUGGUGACAGGCCCUGACAAUUACAUCACCCACUAUGACCGCUUUAACUUUCACCCCAGUUACAAUGUCAACAGGCCAUCUAUCUGUGACUAAGGGAGUUGGCUGCCCAUCGGGGGCGGGGGAGGUGUCUCCUGACUCAGUGCUGCUGUAGGGAGGAGACUGCUGCCCCUGAUCCUUACCAAGUGCCCGGUUCUAAAGGCACAGAUCUCACUGCCUUCUCAGAAAAUGCUUUUCCUUCCAGGAGGAGAAAAAUAUGCAAAUAGGGCCAUAAUGUCCUUCGUUCUGUAUUUUACACAGGAAAGAUGCUGAUGGCAGGAAUUGCUAUUAAAACAGUUGCCACAGCCUCAA